AAACUUUUAACAACGGAUCUCUUGGCUCUCGCAUCGAUGAAGAACGCAGCGAGAUGCGAUAAGUAAUGUGAAUUGCAGAAUUCAGUGAAUCAUCGAAUCUUUGAACGCACCUUGCGCCCUUUGGUAUUCCGAAGGGCAUGCCUGUUUGAGUGUCAUGA
rnacentral:rRNA from 1 species